ensembl:lincRNA
GAAGUGUAGCCCAGUCAAAACAGUAAGUGAACCUCCAACCAGGCCAUAAAAAAAGAUAGAUGAAUUAUCUCACAAGAAAUGAAAAAUAAUCUUCUUGGAACGGGUUGUGGGCUGCAUACCUGCACUCCCAACACUGGGAAGUUGAGGCAGGAGUUCAAGGUCACCCAUGGUUAUAGAGGAAGUUUGAGGCCAGUCUAUUAAAACGAACAAGCAAACAAGUAAAAGAAUCAUAUGGUAGCCCACUGUGCCUCAAAAGAGCACAGAUAUCUGGUGUGGAACAGCUUGCAAUAUCAGAAGACAGACUGAGACAGGAGGACUCUAAGGCACAGAAAAAGAAGGCCAUGGCCAUAUUUGCCCAUCCCUUCCCCUGUGGGGAGGGUCUGCCUCAGUCUUAUACCUCUGUGUUCACACAGCCCCUCAGAGUUCCAAAGGAGAAGCCAAGGGACUGGAAACACACUCGGCUCAGUUCCUCAGUAAGGCAGACACUGGAGGAGCCAACACGGUUGUCCCCCCCAACCUCUCACUGACAGCAGAGCAUCCCCAGCAGGCAACACCAGAAGAGAGGUGGCCAAGCCCAGAACAAGUCUGAAGCCAGGCAAAGGCAGCUGAAUGGCAGACCAUGUCCCAUAUGGUAUAUUUAUGCACCAAGGGCCAGGGGAGCAGGUAUGUACGGUUUCUGUCCUAGUUAAGGUUUCUAUUAUUGCAGCGAGACACCAGGAGCAAAGCAAGGUGAGGAGGACAGAGUUCAUCUUGCUUACACUUCCACAUCACCGUCCAUCACUCAAGAAGUCAGGGCAGGAUCUCAAACAGGGCAGAGGCUGGACGCAGGAGCUGAUACAGAAGCCAUCGAAGCUUGCUGGCACGGCUUGCUCAGCCUGCUUUCUUCCAGGACCACCAGCCCAGGGCUGGUACCACCCACAAUGGGCCUACAGGCUUGCUUACAGCCUGAUUUCAUUGAGGUAUUUUCUCAAUUGAGAUUCCCUCCUUUCAGGUGACUUUAGCUUGUCAAGUUGACAUAAAUCUAAAUCUAGCCAGCACAAGUACCAACUCUGGAAGGCUUCUAAGCAAUAAGCUUCCUAACUUGAAAGCAUAGUUCUGGGUCCAGUCUCCAGUACCGCAUAGAAUAGGCCACUGCGGCACCCGUAACCCCAGCACUUGGAAGGUAGAAGCAGGAGGAUCAGAAGUUCAGCGUCAUCCUUGGCUACAAAAUGAAUUUGAGGCUAGCCUGGGCUAUAUAGGACUGUCUCAAAGCAAACAAACAAAAAAACCAACCAACCAAACAAACAAACAAACAAAAAACCAAAAAGGAAGAGAAGAGAAGAGAAGAGAAGAGAAGAGAAGAGAAGAGAAGAGACGAGACGAGACGAGACGAGAAGAGAAGAGAAGAGAAGAGAAGGAAAGAGAAAUGACGCCUUAAGGUGGCUUCUUUGCUGUUGGAGAGAAAGAACAGGGCUAACCUUGAAACUGGUGCUAGCAUGGACUUCAUGUGGCCUUGGCCACAAGCAGUGUCACAGGAAGUCAUCACUGGACAAGCCACCUGCAUUGUGGUGGAUCAAAAAGAACCGAUACUACUCUGUAUGCAUGACAGACACAGACAAACUGGAACUACAGGGAAGAUCAGCGUUUCUCAGUCUUGGAGUCUAAAUGACUCUGCCUCCCUGGGCCUUCUGGGACUCUUUUCUAAGGUGUGUUGCAGCUCCCCCUGGUGGACUUCCUCCUCCACUGCAAAACCUGCCCAACCACACCUGGUGAAUCCUAGUGUUUGGCUAGAACAGUGGCUUCUACCCAACCCUGUGUAUAUUGGCACAUAAAUGACUACAUUCAGACAUUUGACAGCAAUCAACUAUGGAGAAGUUGAUUUUGAAGCAAUUUUGGUAGACAUAUUUGAAACUAUGUUUGGUGACAUUGUCAUUUAUUAAAGAUGAAAGCAAAUUUGCAUGCU